UAGAUAAGUGGUUUCUUUUUCUAUCAAGAAAUGGUGUUGAGGAACUUUACAUAUCUCUUUGGGGCUGUCAUAAUAAGCUGCCAUUUUGUGUGUUCUCGUGC